AUUGAACGCUGGCGGCAGGCUUAACACAUGCAAGUCGAGCGGAGCGAGGGUGCUUGCACCUUAGCUUAGCGGCGGACGGGUGAGUAAUGCUUAGGAAUCUGCCUAUUAGUGGGGGACAACAUUCCGAAAGGAAUGCUAAUACCGCAUACGCCCUACGGGGGAAAGCAGGGGAUCUUCGGACCUUGCGCUAAUAGAUGAGCCUAAGUCGGAUUAGCUAGUUGGUGGGGUAAAGGCCUACCAAGGCGACGAUCUGUAGCGGGUCUGAGAGGAUGAUCCGCCACACUGGGACUGAGACACGGCCCAGACUCCUACGGGAGGCAGCAGUGGGGAAUAUUGGACAAUGGGGGGAACCCUGAUCCAGCCAUGCCGCGUGUGUGAAGAAGGCCUUAUGGUUGUAAAGCACUUUAAGCGAGGAGGAGGCUACUGAGACUAAUACUCUUGGAUAGUGGACGUUACUCGCAGAAUAAGCACCGGCUAACUCUGUGCCAGCCGCCGCAGUAA
rnacentral:rRNA from 1 species